rnacentral:rRNA from 1 species
GACAGAGGUGCCGAGCGUUAGGCGGAAUCACUGGGCUUAAAGCGUGUGUAGGCGGAUCGUUAAGUGCCUUGUGAAAUCCCACGGCUUAACCGUGGAACUGCUUGGCAUACUGGCGGUCUUGAGCCACUUAGGGGCUACCGGAACAAAUGGUGGAGCGGUGAAAUGCGUAGAUAUCAUUUGGAACGCCAAUGGUGAAAACAGGUAGCUGGGAGUGUGCUGACGCUGAGACACGAAAGCCAGGGGAGCGAACGGG